CCUACGGGAGGCAGCAGUGAGGAAUAUUGGUCAAUGGGCGGAAGCCUGAACCAGCCAAGUAGCGUGCAGGAUGACGGCCCUACGGGUUGUAAACUGCUUUUAUACGGGAAUAACGCGCCUUACGUGUAGGGCUUUGCAUGUUCCGUAUGAAUAAGGACCGGCUAAUUCCGUGCCAGACGCCCCGGUAAUACGGAAGGUCCGGGCGUUAUCCGGAUUUUUUGGGUUUAAAGGGAGCGUAGGCCGCAUGUCAAGCGUGCUGUGAAAUGUCCGGGCUCAACCCGGGCCUUGCAGCGCGAACUGGCGUGCUUGAGUCGGCGGAAAGCAGGCGGAAUUCGUCGUGUAGCGGUGAAAUGCUUAGAUAUGACGAAGAACCCCGAUUGCGAAGGCAGCUUGCUGCAGCGGAACUGACGCUGAUGCUCGAAAGCGCGGGUAUCGAACAGGAUUAGAUACCCUUGUAGUC
rnacentral:rRNA from 1 species